UGGGGAAUAUUGGACAAUGGGCGCAAGCCUGAUCCAGCCAUGCCGCGUGAGUGAUGAAGGCCCUAGGGUUGUAAAGCUCUUUCACCGGUGAAGAUAAUGACGGUAACCGGAGAAGAAGCCCCGGCUAACUUCGUGCCAGCAGCCGCGGUAAUACGAAGGGGGCUAGCGUUGUUCGGAUUUAGUGGGCGUAAAGCGCACGUAGGCGGACUUUUAAGUCAGGGGUGAAAUCCCGGGGCUCAACCCCGGAACUGCCUUUGAUACUGGAAGUCUUGAGUAUGGUAGAGGUGAGUGGAAUUCCGAGUGUAGAGGUGAAAUUCGUAGAUAUUCGGAGGAACACCAGUGGCGAAGGCGGCUCACUGGACCAUUACUGACGCUGAGGUGCGAAAGCGUGGGGAGCAAACAGG
rnacentral:rRNA from 1 species